rnacentral:rRNA from 16 species
AACGACUCUCGGCAACGGAUAUCUCGGCUCUUGCAUCGAUGAAGAACGUAGCGAAAUGCGAUACUUGGUGUGAAUUGCAGAAUCCCGUGAACCAUCGAGUUUUUGAACGCAAGUUGCGCCCGAUACCAUUAGGUUGAGGGCACGUCUGCCUGGGC